GUCAAGAUUCUACAAAGAAAGAUAGAAAGGAUCAUGACAGAAGCAAGGAUCAAGUGAAGAAGAAGACUCCCAAGUCUGCUGCUUAAACUACAGCAGAAUACACUCUGCUGUUUAUUCUGCUGCUUAAACGACAACUUCAUAGGCUGUGUUAGUUUUCAUUUUAUACUGCAUGUAGUUUUUGUGUCACUGGUGUUUGGUUUUAGUAAGCACGUGAAUAGCACGUGUGUGGAAGUUAGUUUUUAUUAAUCCGGUUUUAAGGGAAAUCUGUUAGAUUAGUUAGUUGAUCCGUUUCCCCUGUUUUUCCUUUACCAGGUGUGUAUAUAUAUAUAUAGUUAGCCUCUGUAACAGAUCAGAUAGAUGAAUAUACAGAAAUUUCUCCAAGCUCGAAAUC